UGUGUAGGUAGGUAUGUAAAAAGAAGAGUUAAUUAUUAAAUAUAUGCUGAUCGUCAUAAGGUUUUUUUACGUAUUAAAUCCCUCACCCGGAUCUUGGUAAAAGUUGUUUUUGUCCAUGAUCAUCAAAAUAUCACUAGUUCGCGUCUUCAUGCUGAGAGGAAUUACAGAAUUUACCAUUUAUUAUUACGAAAGUGGAAAAACGUGGAGGAAUAACAGCAAAGUAAUUUCGACCGUCACCAUUCAAUCAUGGUUAUUGUAAGCGAGCAAUAAGUGCUCAAAUCCGUGCAUGCAUACAAAUCCAAAAACAAGGUUUCGUUUAGAGAAGAACACGAGUUUUCUUUACAGAGUGUACUAAUUUUCCAAUAAUUCGUUCAAUUUUCUGGGGUCGAUCUCUGUCCCGUAGGAUUUACAGGAUUAAGAUUUCUUUGAGUUUGCUCAUUCAUUCAGCAACAAACCUGGAAGAACGACCAGUGAGACAUGGAUAGAUUAUUUUACUCAAUGUGAACUUUCUAAUUAUUGUAUCAAACCAAGCUU